GGUACCUACGGGACGCAGCAGUGGGGAAUAUUGCACAAUGGGCGCAAGCCUGAUGCAGCGACGCCGCGUGCGGGAUGGAGGCCUUCGGGUUGUAGACCGCUUUUGUUCAGGGGCAAGGCACGGUCUUUGGCCGUGUUGAGUGGAUUGUUCGAAUAAGCACCGGCUAACUACGUGCCAGCAGCCGCGGUAAUACGCAGGGUGCGAGCGUUAUCCGGAUUUAUUGGGCGUAAAGGGCUCGUAGGCGGUGCGGCGCGUGCGGUGUGAAAGUCCAUGGCUUAAAGGUGG
rnacentral:rRNA from 1 species